UACGGAGGUGGCAAGCGUUGUUCGGAAUUACUGGGCGUAAAGGGCGCGUAGGCGGCUAGGCAAGUCAGGUGUGAAAGCCCCGAGCUUAACUCGGGAAUUGCAUCUGAAACUGCUGUGCUUGAGUUCUGGAGGGGGUAGUGGAAUUCCCAGUGUAGCGGUGAAAUGCGUAGAUAUUGGGAGGAACACCUGCGGCGAAGGCGGCUACCUGGACAGAAACUGACGCUGAGGCGCGAAAGCUAGGGGGGCGAACAGG
rnacentral:rRNA from 1 species